CCAAGGCUCCCCAUAUAACCACAUCAAAGUUCCCCACCACACAGAAGAAAGAAUCUCUCUUUACUUCUCUCUCUUUCACAAAACAAAAUAUUUCCAACUCUCAACUCUCCCCAACCCCCUCUCUACCCUCUUCUCUCUGACCUUCUGCCCAUCUUUGAAAACUCACAAGUAAACACUCAACCUUCUCUGCCCUCCAAUUAAUUACUUCUGACACCCCCCUUUAAUAUUUCUCCCAGUAAUGGGUAUGAUCUCUCCUCACUCCCACAAUUCCCACAUUAUAGUAAUCCUCAACACCUGCUUCUUUCGUCAUAAAUUCUAGAUCAAAUUCAACCCUUUGAAAAUCAACAUAUUUUUUUUUUACUUCUUAUGGGGUAUGUAUGAUUGUGACCCUUUAAUCUAAAACUCUCUUGUAAGGCUCCACACAUACCAACCUACCCAAAAGUUCUUUCCCUAUAAGGCUGUUCUUAUGGCAGGUGGCAAGCUUUUUGGUGGUUCUAAUAUGUCACUUUUGCUUCAAAAUGAAAGACUCCCUUGUACUUCUGAAGUCCUUGAAUCUCUUUGGGUUCACACCCCUGCUUCUUUUCAAGGUUCAAAUUCAGUGGUUAAUUUUGAGAAUGGUGGUGGUAGCAACAGAGUGGUAACAGAUAGACCCUUCUUUCAACAACUUGAGAAAGAAGAGAAUUGUGGUGAUGAAGAUUAUGAAGCAUGCUACCAUCAACAAGGAAAGAAAAGGAGGCUUUCAAGUGAACAAGUUCAAUUUCUUGAAAAGAGUUUUGAGGUAGAAAACAAGCUUGAACCUGAUAGGAAAGUUCAACUUGCAAAAGAGCUUGGUUUGCAACCAAGACAAGUUGCUAUAUGGUUUCAAAACAGAAGGGCAAGGUUCAAAACUAAACAGCUUGAAAAAGAUUAUGGCACAUUGAAAGCUAGCUUUGAUAGUCUCAAAGAUGAUUAUGAUAAUCUUCUUCAAGAGAAUGACAAGUUAAAAGAAGAGGUGAAUUCUCUCAAGAACAAAUUGAUCCCAAGAGAUAAAGAAAAAGUGAAUUCAGAAGACAAAUCAUCACCAGAAGCAAUCAAUUCACCUCAUAACAACAUAGAUCCAAUGGAUAUAAUUUCAAUUACAAAUUCAGAAAAUGGGUCCAAAAUGUCACUCCCUAAUAUGGUACUAAAAUGUAAGCAAGAAGAUGCCAAUUCAGCUAAAAGUGAUGUGCUUGAUUCUGAUAGCCCACAUUGCAAUGAUGGGAACAAUCUUUCUUCUUUCAUAGAGCCUACAGAUUCAGAUUUCUCACAAGAUGAAGAGGAUAAUGAUAACUUGAGUCAUAAUCUUUUGACUCUUCCUUGCUUACCAAAAGUUGAAGAUGUUUGCUAUGAUGACCCACAUGAAAAUUCUUGUAAUUUUGGGUUCCCUGUUGAAGAUCAAACCUUUUGUUUCUGGCCUUAUUGAAUUUAAAGUUCCAUUGCAGUUGUAACUCUGUACUAGAAGAAAUAAAAAUGGUCAUCACUAGUUCUAUUGUAAACCUUCUACUAAAGAAUAAAAACAAAAGGGUUACAUUGUUAUUAACAAGGAAAAAUAUUAAUA